AAAGUCACAAUACAUAUUUUUUUUUUGGAUACAAGUCACAAUACAUUUUUAUUCGGGCAAGAUUAGGAUUUAGGAGAAAAAACAUGGCUAAAAUUAUUAACUUUGUUUAUUUAGUGAUCCUCUUUAUUUUCUUAUCUGUUGUUGUAACUGACGUUAUUGGUAAACAAUUUUUGUAUCUUUUUGAACUUUCUUGUUAUCUAUCUUAUACAACAUAAUUCACCAUUUUUGCUAAUAAUUUUUUCUUAUUUAUUUUUUAUAUUACAGCACAGGGGAAGCUAAAUUGCGAGAAGAAUUCUGAUUGUGUCAUGUUUUCUUGCGUGCCUCCUUCUAAUCCAAAAUGUGUUUCUUUUGAAUGUAGAUGUCGCCACUAUUAAAAGCAAUCUCAAUUUUAAAAGAUUAAUAUUGUAAUCUCAAAGGAUCUCAAAUAGUCAUUAAAAGGCCAUUAGAGCUAUUGUUAUUAAUAACAGAAUUUAUUUUAUCAUGUUCCUUAGUUGAUAUUCUCAACAAUAUAGAAAAGGAGUAGUUGAGACACUAGGGUUUUCUGUUUAGACACCAACCUUCUAGUUGAAACCCCUGACCAAAUUUCUUUUGGAAUAAAAAAAUUUGUUAUAAAAAAAAAAGAAUAUAAUUUAUAAAUUAUAAAUAUUUAAUCGUGGCAAUACACUUAUUUAGUGAAGUAAACCUACACUUAUAGAGUAAACCUACCAUUAUAAUUAUUUUGCAUGUUUUCUAAAACUCUAGGUAUUCAGUGGCGGAUCCAAAAAUUUUCUUCGGUGGGGGCUCAAAAAUAUUACAACGAGUGAAAUAUUUUUUUUUGUUACCUUGUUAAAUAUACAAAAUUUCUAUUAUUACUGUAUAGUAGAGAUUAAUCAUCGUCACAAAACUUGUUGGGUACCCAAAAGAAUUUCUUCUCUUCUAUCCAAAUUUUCUCCAUAAACACGAGUUGAGAGUCGAAUGUCAAACAACUUGCUUAAAUAGUCUUACCACUUGUACCAAUUUAUUGUUAGUACAUGAUACUUGAUUUAUUUUGCUAAAGAGAGAGAUAUUGUGCGAAAAAGUUAUUUGAUUGGAGAGUAUUAGGAUCUACACAAAAUAAAUUAGGAAGUUGAAAUUGAGGUAAUAAUAAAAAGAUGAACUUGAGAUAAAUAUAUAAGUGUAAAUUAGUGGUCUAAUCAAUUUUAUGGGGGCUUAAAUAAAAUAUAUAAGUAUUUUUGUAUAAUGAAAAGUAUACCAAUAGUAUUAUUAUAGAUUUUUUUUGUUACCUUGUGGAGGCUCAAGCCCCCAAUUGCUUACACAUAGAUCCGCCCCUGUAGGUAUUACUUGAACCGGAUUGGUUUGCAAUUAUUUUAAUUUAAGUAAUUUAAUUUAAUUAAUUAAUUGUGUGUAUUUAUUGGUUGUGAGUUUUAGAAGAGUAAUUAAUUUUUUUUAAUCAAGAGGUUAAUUAGAAGUAGGAGAAAUAAGUAUUGCGCUUUAUGAGUUGGGCUUGUAAGUUUAAGAAUGAAUCUAAGAGGGGGUGAAUUAGGUUUUAAGUUUUUUUUUUUUUUUGGUAGGAAAUAUUUUGGUUAUUUUAAUUAGAGAUGCUUUGGAUUCCUUUUAUUUUUUUUUGAAAGUUAUGAUGAAGGUAUGAACAAUAUGCAGAAAAAUAAAAGACAAAAGGAAAGAGAAGAAUGACACAAAAUAUUUAUAUUGGUUCCCCUUCUAACCUAAGGGUAUACGUCUAGUCCCUACCUUGCGAAUGAUUACACUAUUAGAAUUCUUGUUACAAGACAGUCUUACCCCAAGGUUCCCCUAACAAAAUCUCAAUAUAACACAAGAUAGCACCCACUAUCUUUAAUUAACAACAAAAAUUUUCACCAAACUCUGGUGAAUUUCUCAUACAACACAAGAUAUAUAGCACCCCAUUAUCUUAAACAACAAUUCUCUACAAAAGUAUGAUUAGAAUUUACAAACAAAUGUUCAAGAAAUAAUAUGUAUGGCUGUUAUCAAAUCAAUAUCACUUUCAAAUGAAUAUAACUUGAUGCUCAGAAACCUUUUUGGAUAUGAAAAUAUAAUCAAGGUUUCACAAAAUAAUGUUUGAAAUAUUUUGUGAGAAAUUGAUAUUUUUAUCUUAGCAUGUUGCAAUAUGAAAGUUAUUAUUUGUAAUUAUCACAAAUAUAUUUAUAGAUGCUUUAAAAAAUGUCCAUGAAAUAAGACAACUCUUCAAAAAUCUUAUAAUAAAAAGUUAUGUUUAAAAAACACAAUGGUUGUCCAGGACAUACGAUUUAAAACAAAUUCCGGUUAAAAUUCAAACUGUCAAGAUGCUUCUUAAAGUUCAUACAGCAACAGAUAUGUUAAAUCUGUUGAACAGAAGAAGGGCUUUAAAACGUGCAGACAGCUUUUCUUAAAAAUCAACUUUUUAUAUUUUUAAAAGCUUGCUUCAUGUGGACUUUUAUAUUUAACUUAGAAAUUUAUUUGUAAUUAAUUUUAAAAAUAACUUCUGAGGAUUCUAAGUUAUAUAAUUAUUAAAAGUGAUAAAUCAAAGAUAAAGACCAUACUUACGAUUAAUUUAAGUAAUAAGCCGAAGUCUUGGUCUUCAUCUUGUUUUAUCAUAUUGAGCCUCCAAGUUCAAGAAAGAAAUCUUCUUCACAAUCUCCCCCUUUUUGAUGAUGACAAACGAUAUCAUUUUGACAUUGUUGCUUAAUGAAUCUUCCUUUAUCUUGUAUGUGUCCCCAUUUGUUUUGCAAAUGAAUAUUCUGAAAAAUUUUAACCAUAAAACACAAGCAUAUACUCCUUCUCCUCCUUUUGACAUCAUCAAAAGGAAGGAAAAUAAAUGUCUUAACUUUUGUUGUUAAAUUGAGAGUAUUAUUAUGUAUUAAUAAUAUUUUUCUUGUUUCUUUAAAAGAAGAUAAACAAAUUUUAAGUAAUUAAAAUAAAAAAUUCUUUACAAAUAUCACAAUUUUUUUUAAAAAACUUAUUAUCCAUGGUUAUCUAUCUACUAAUACUUCAAAAUUCGUGGAUUGCCCGCUUAGCGGAUACCCACAUAAAUAUGAAGCGGAUAUGAAUAUCGUAUUUAACCAAAGGGGCGGACAUGGAUAUCAUACUAUCUGCAUUCAUGGAUAUUCAUUUACAUCUCUCUAACCUCUACAAUACGUCAUUAGGCGUAACGACCUGGCAUCAGAGCUAAAGAAAUAGUCCUGCUAAGAACAUCUUCGACUUCAACAAUACAUUACAUAAUAAACUUUUAAAUAUUUUAAUACUAUGAUGUUGAAUUUAAUAUGGUAACCAAUGACUGAAUGACGUGAAACUAUAUCUAUGUUUUAGAAAAUUAUUUUUAUCAAAAGACAACUCAACUAUUUUUUCUUCUGUUUUUUAUUACUACUAUUUAAAAUUUUUGUUAUUUUUCAUUUUUUUUGUCCCUAUGUAUCAUAAAAGGAUAGACAUUAAAAAAUAGAAUGAAAAUAACAAAAGGUUGCCCUUAUCAAUUGAGCAAGCCAAACAGGUAAAUAUGAAAAAAAAAGUGAGUAUCUAUGAUACAUUUAAUAUUGAUCUAUUUCUAAGAAGUUUUCUUGAAGAUCUAUAAAUUCAAAAAAUUGAAACAAAUAAACAAAACAUACUACUUUUACAAUAUAAAGUGAUCGGUACAUUUCUAAUUGGGCAAGAUUAGGAGAAAAAACAUGGCUAAAAUUAUUAAAUUUGUUUAUUUAGUGAUCCUCUUUAUUUUCUUAGUUGUUGUUGUAACUGACAUUACUGGUAAAAAAAUUUGUAUCUUUUUGAGCUUUCUUGUUAUCUAUCUUAUACAAAAUAAUUCAUCAUUUUCACUAAUUUUUUUUUAUAUUACAGCACAGGGGAAGCUAAAUUGCGAGAAGGAUUCUGAUUGUUUCAUGUUUUCUUGUGUACCUGCUGCUUUUCCAAAAUGUGUUUCUUUCGAAUGUAGAUGUCCUUUUUCCGCCACUAUUGAAAAAUAAACUCGAUUGUAAAAGAUUAAUAUUGUAAUAUCUCAAAUAAGGGAGUUAAAAUUUCAUCUCAAAUAGUCAUAAAAAGGCCAUUGGAGCUAUUGUUAUAUAUUAAUAUUUUAUUGUGUUCCUUAGUUGAUAU
rnacentral:lncRNA from 1 species